UGGGGAAUUUUGGACAAUGGGGAAACCCUGAUCCAGCCAUCCCGCGUGUGCGAUGAAGGCCUUCGGGUUGUAAAGCACUUUUGGCAGGAAAGAAACGUCAUGGGUUAAUACCCCGUGAAACUGACGGUACCUGCAGAAUAAGCACCGGCUAACUACGUGCCAGCAGCCGCGGUAAUACGUAGGGUGCAAGCGUUAAUCGGAAUUACUGGGCGUAAAGCGUGCGCAGGCGGUUCGGAAAGAAAGAUGUGAAAUCCCAGAGCUCAACUUUGGAACUGCAUUUUUAACUACCGGGCUAGAGUGUGUCAGAGGGAGGUGGAAUUCCGCGUGUAGCAGUGAAAUGCGUAGAUAUGCGCAGGAACACCGAUGGCGAAGGCAGCCUCCUGGGAUAACACUGACGCUCAUGCACGAAAGCGUGGGGAGCAAACAGG
rnacentral:rRNA from 1 species